rnacentral:rRNA from 1 species
GUUGGGAAUCUUGGACAAUGGGGGAAACCCUGAUCCAGCCAUGCCGCGUGAGUGAUGAAGGCCUUCGGGUUGUAAAACUCUUUCGACGGGGACGAUAAUGACGGUACCCGUAGAAGAAGCUCCGGCUAACUUCGUGCCAGCAGCCGCGGUAAUACGAAGGGGGCUAGCGUUGUUCGGAAUUACUGGGCGUAAAGCGCGCGCAGGUGGUCUUUCAAGUCAGUGGUGAAAGCCUGGAGCUCAACUCCAGAACUGCCAUUGAAACUGCAAGACUCGAGUACGAGAGAGGUGAGUGGAAUUCCCAGUGUAGAGGUGAAAUUCGUAGAUAUUGGGAAGAACACCAGUGGCGAAGGCGGCUCACUGGCUCGUAACUGACGCUCAGGCGCGACAGCGUGGGGAUCAAACAGGAUUAGAAACCCGAGUAGUCC